rnacentral:rRNA from 1 species
CUACGGGGUGCACCAGUGAGGAAUAUUGCACAAUGGGGGGAACCCUGAUGCAGCAACGCCGCGUGGAGGAUGACGCAUUUCGGUGUGUAAACUCCUUUUAUAUGUCAAGAAAAUGACGGUAGCAUAUGAAUAAGCACCGGCUAACUCCGUGCCAGCAGCCGCAGUAAUACGGAGGGUGCAAGCGUUACUCGGAAUCACUGGGCGUAAAGGACGCGUAGGCGGGUUGGAAAGUCAGGUGUGAAAUCCUACAGCUUAACUGUAGAACUGCACUUGAAACUUCUAAUCUAGAGUAUGGGAGGGGGAGAUGGAAUUAGUGGUGUAGGGGUAAUAUCCGUAGAUAUCACUAGGAAUACCUAAAGCGAAGGCGAUCUCCUGGAACAUUACUGACGCUAAGGCGUGAAAGCGUGGGGAGCAAACAGGAUUAGAUACCCCAGUAGUC